GGGAAUAGCAGCCCUGCGCGGGCUGCGGAAGGCCGGCGAGAUCCCGGGACGGCAGCAGAGGCCAGCGCCUGGAGUUCCCACAAUGCACCGGGGGAGGCGCCCUGGUUGCCCGAAGUGGGAGAGAAGCGGUGGCGGCUCCGCUGAGGGCUGAUCUGUGAACUCUUGAAGAAGAGCAUGAAUGUUUCUGAGACCUGGUUGUACGGUGGUUCCUCACUAGCAUCUCAGGUUCAUGCUGCAGCUGUUAAUGGACACAAGAGUGCUCUUCUAAAGCAAAUAGCAGGAAACCCUGAUCUGAAAGACAAAGAGGACCAGUUUGGGAGAACACCACUCAUGUACUGUGUGUUGGCUGAUAGAUUAGACUGUGCGGAGGCUUUGUUGAAGACGGGAAUAGAUGUUAAUAAAGCUGAUCAUAGUCAGAGGACAGCUCUCCACCUUGCUGCACAAAAGGGAAAUUAUCGCUUUAUGAAACUUCUCCUCGCUCGUAGAGCAAAGUGGUUGAAGAAGGAUUUGGAAGGAAUUACUCCUUUGCACUUAACUACCCGGCACAAGAAUCCAAAGUGCUUAGCUUUGUUGUUAAAAUAUAUGGCACCAGGAGAGAUUGAUACGCAGGACAAAAAUAAGCAAACUGCUCUUCACUGGAGUGCUUAUUACAAUAAUCCAGAGCAUGUGAAACUUUUAAUCAAACAUGAUUCUAAUAUUGGCAUCCCAGAUGUUGAAGGCAAAAUCCCUCUUCAUUGGGCAGCUAACCACAAGGACCCAAGCGCUGUUCACACCGUCAGAUGCAUUUUGGAUGCUGCUCCCACUGAGUCUCUCUUAAACUGGCAAGACUACGAAGGACGGACGCCUCUCCAUUUUGCAGUCGCUGAUGGGAACGUGGCUGUUGUUGAUUUGCUGACUUCCUAUGAAGGCUGUAACGUGACUUCCUAUGACAACUUAUUUCGAACGCCGCUUCAUUGGGCAGCUUUAUUGGGUCAUGCACAGAUUGUCCACCUUCUUUUAGAAAGAAACAAGUCUGGGACCAUUCCAUCUGAUAGCCAAGGAGCAACACCUUUACACUAUGCAGCACAGAGCAACUUUGCUGAAACAGUGGAAGCCUUUUUGAAACAUCCUUCUGUGAGAGAUGACUCAGAUCUGGAGGGACGAACAUCUUUUAUGUGGGCUGCUGGGAAAGGCAGUAAUGAUGUCAUCUGGACGAUACUGAAUUUAAAAUCAGACAUUGAUAUCAACAUGGCAGACAAAUAUGGUGGCACAGCAUUACACGCAGCUGCCCUUUCUGGCCAUGUCAGCACCGUGCAAUUGUUGCUAGAACAUGAUGCUCAGGUAGAUGCGACUGACGUAAUGAAACAUACUCCUCUUUUCCGUGCCUGUGAGAUGGGGCAUAAAGAAGUGAUACAGACUCUCAUUAAAGGAGGAGCCAGAGUGGAUCUCGUUGACCAAGAUGGUCAUUCUCCCUUACACUGGGCAGCUCUGGGAGGAAACCCAGACGUUUGCCAGAUAUUGAUAGAAAAUAAAAUCAAUCCAAAUGUGCAGGAUUAUGCAGGCAGGACUCCCUUGCAGUGUGCUGCCUACGGAGGCUACAUUAAUUGCAUGGUGGUGCUCCUGGAAAACAAGGCCGAUCCAAAUGUUCAAGAUAAAGAGGGAAGAACUGCCCUACAUUGGUUAUGUAACAACGGCUACCUUGAUGCUAUAAAGCUACUGCUGGGGUUUGGUGCCUUUCCCAAUCAUAUGGAGAACAAUGAAGAAAGAUACACUCCACUUGAUUAUGCUUUGCUUGGAGCUCACCAUGAAGUCAUCCAAUUCAUGCUGGAGCAUGGUGCUUUAUCCAUCGCUGCCAUACAGGACAUCGCAGCUGUCAAAAUCCAAGCAGUCUAUAAAGGAUACAAAGUCAGAAAAGCUUUCCAAGAUAGGAAAAACCUUCUAGUGAAGCAUGAACAGCUGAGGAAAGAUGCUGCUGCCAAGAAACGUGAGGAAGAGAAUAGAAGGAAAGCCACUGAGCUGCAGAAAGAAAUUAAGAACGUUGAGGCCAACAGGAUCCCAUUGCAGCAGCAGGAUCAGCAGUGCCUUUUGAGAAAAGAGCUGGAAACGAGGUUUCGUACCGCACAGCACCCCAUUCAGCAAGAUGCUGCUCAUAAAAAAAGGCCUUCCUCCAGCACCGCUUUUCAAAACCGAGCUGAAAGAAGCAGGAAAGACUCGGCUACAGUUUUGCCAAACAAGGAGACCUCCAAGAACCAAUGUCACUCUGCAGAACAGCUGGGCGAAGAUCACAAAAGCAAAAAGGAACUAUCUAAGGCAAACUACAAAAGCAAGUCUGCCUGUAUCCCUUCUCAUUCCAAUAAGGACAGUGAUGGAUCCAAAUACCGGUUUGUAGCAAAGCAUCAAGCUGCAUCUGCUACUUCUGGCAGGGAUGGUAAAAAAAACAAGGAAUCUACUGCAAAAGCAAAUGGCAACUCCACGCAUGCCGGAAAAAGGCACAUCCCCGGCGAUAAAGCUGCCAGCUCCAGGGAGAAAUCAGAAAAUCAAACUCAGUCAAUAAAUAGCAGCAUCAACCAUUGUGAAGAAACACCAGCAUGUGUCCAAAAUAGUAACUUCACUAAUGGAAGCACAGAGAAUUUGAGGCAGUGUGAAAUGGCACUUAAAGGCAACCCACAGCCACUGAAAGCAAAAAGCAAAGAGUUAAAUGACGAGAGGUGGUCUCCAGCUGGCUCCAGCAGACCUGGAAGUGCCAAGGCAGGAAGUGUGAACAUCAGAAGGGACACUGCAAAGGCUGCUGUUACACAAACCAGCAAGUCAACAAAUGAUGACAUUACUGGACAGGACUGUCCUUUGCUGCCUAACAAUGAAGGGACUGCAAGGUUGGUGCCCCACAGGCUGGCAAUGGGCAGUGCCUCUGGAGACAAUACUAAACUGAGCAGGCAAGUUGUGACUGCAUCCAGGCAUGCAGAAGAUCCAUUGGGUUCUCUUCAGCACAAGAGCACAAAUAUUGAACUUAUCCCAUUAGCAAUACGGAUGCAGGUCAUAGAGAAGGAAAGGGCAAGGAAAGAGCUGUUCCGGAAGAAGAACUGUGCCGCUGCCAUUAUUCAAAGGGCAUGGAGAAGGUAGGGGGGAAUCCCUGUUUCUUCCUUCCUCACUUAUUUCUUUUGAAUUAUUCCAGAUUUCAUCGGGAAGCUUAGCAUGGGGGUUAAGCUUGAAGUUCUGACAUUAUUUUGAGUUACCAAGCCUGAGGCUGAUGGUUCAGUAGAGAAGCUAGCCACUGGGUGGGAUGUGUCAGCUUGUCCCUUGCCACUUUGCAUGCUAAAAGGAUGCUUCAGGAAAGAAUGCUUCUGCUUUCCACAUACAGAUAUAGUAUGAAGGGUUGAGUCUUCAUGAGCUGCUUGGAGAGAUCAUUAGGGCUACAAGUCAUGACCUGGGUGGCCCAGGUUAGCCCGAUCUUGUCAGAUCUUGGCUGCUAAGCAGGGUCAGCCCUAGUUAGUAUUUGGAUGGUAGACCACUGAGAAAGUCCAGGAUCCACAAUGCAGGGGCAGGCAAUGGCAAACCAUUCCUCUUUGUAACUUUGCCUUAGAAACCCUACAGCUGUGACUUGACGACUUUACUCUCAUACACCCAUCAUGAGCUUUCUGCUGGCAUUGUGCCUCUAAUGAAGGGGCAUGGCUCAGUGGAAGAGUACAUGUUUUGCAUGCAGAAGGUCUGGCCGUAUUCACACUUGCCUUGGCAAAAUCCAGUGUCCGUGUGGAGCUGUCCUCGAAGAUGGAUUAGAAACUUCAGUUGGUGCACCGUGUGGCUGCAAGUAUUCUUUCCAAUUUAUGCCACAACUAUCAAAUAAAGUCAGCCCUACUUUUGCAGGUUCUGAGUCUCAGUUUGCUUCCAGGUUCAGUUCUGAGGUGCUGACCUUGAUGUUUAGAGGCCUAAAUGGGUUGGUUUAGAGUAACUUAAAGGACCGCCUCCGCAUGUAGAGCUCUGAGACUCCAUCAUGUGGGAUCUCAGCUCACCUGAAUUUAGGCUGACUGGGCCUUGGGGGGAAACUUUUUCAGCUGCACCCCCCAGACCGGGGAAUUCCCUCCCCAGGAAGUGAGGCGGACACCAUCCCUGCAGGCCUUCUGGACUCAUCUGAAGACUUUUCUUUUCUGGAAGGACCUGGAGUGAAAUAGGAAACUGUGCUUGUUGUUCGUAUCUCUGUGCUUAC